AACGAACGCUGGCGGCAGGCCUAACACAUGCAAGUCGAACGCCCCGCAAGGGAGUGGCAGACGGGUGAGUAACGCGUGGGAACCUUCCCAAUGGUACGGAAUAGCCCAGGGAAACUUGGAGUAAUACCGUAUACGCCCCGAGGGGGAAAGGAUUUAUCGCCAUUGGAUGGGCCCGCGUCUGAUUAGCUAGUUGGUGAGGUAACGGCUCACCAAGGCGACGAUCAGUAGCUGGUUUGAGAGAAUGACCAGCCACACUGGGACUGAGACACGGCCCAGACUCCUACGGGAGGCAGCAGUGGGGAAUAUUGGACAAUGGGCGCAAGCCUGAUCCAGCCAUGCCGCGUGAAGGACGAAGGCGCUCAGCGUUGUAAACUUCUUUUGGAUGGGAACAAUAACUCCGACUUGUCGGAACUUGAGGGUACCAUCAGAAUAAGCACCGGCUAACUCCGUGCCAGCAGCCGCGGUAAAGUAGUCGU
rnacentral:rRNA from 1 species